CAUAAGAACAUAAGAACGGCCAUACUGGGUCAGACCAUGGAACAUCUUGCCCAAUAUCCUGUCUCUGACAGUGGCCCAUACCAGAGCUUCA